UCUGCGGAGUCCCCGCCCGCCCUGCAGAUUAGCAGGCGCGUCGCGUCGGGGCUUCCCGGCCAGCUCUGCUCUGGGGAAUUAGAACGAACUCUAGCGGCCGUUUGCAACUCGGCUGUGGGCGCGAGGGCAUCAACAGGUGGCCGUGUGCAGCGGAGAGGCCAGUGGCGAGGACCCGGACUGGGCCCUUAAAACAAGAUUCUAUCUAUCCUGGGAAGGAGUCUCUUGCGUGAUGCUCGCGGACCUGAAAGGCGACUGGAGGGGCUCUUACAGGAUUCUGUUAACUUCUUGAUGACUGUAAUCCAGCUUGGGCCACAUCUUUCUCAACCUCAUUUGGUACCGGCUAAGAACCUAAUUUACUUGCCAUCAACAUCAGAAUUUACCAAUGCCUGAUCUCCUCCCCACCUCUGCCUCACCCAGGGUGAACCAAAAUUGUAAAAAGAAAAGAAAAAAAUAUGGGACCCUCCCCUCAUUCCCCCGCCUUGUCCCGUCCCGCCCGGCCACACCAACUUCAGCAUUUUUACAUGGCUUACCUUAUUAUGCCCCUUCCAGGCCAUUCCACUCCCUGCCCCCUCCCCCUUUAAAAUAAGUCUAGUUCUGUCUGUUUCCAUGGAAAUUACCCAAACCUUAACGAAGCUAUUCCUAUUUUGAGGCUGCACCUCCUCUGGAUGAUCAAUCACUUAGGAGGGUUUUCUAUAAGCCAAGUUUCCCUUGCUGCCACCUCAUUGCCACCUGCUUCUGGCUGGGUGACAGAUUGUAUGUAGGGUGGAAUGGGCCAGGCCAGAGGGAAACCAGGUAACCCUUUAAACGGUCUGCUGGAUUCUCAUAUCUUCAGAGCACUUGGAUCUCAUGGAUACUAGCAAGGAUGAGGGGCUUCUGAUGUGUUGCAGUGUUUUUAAAUUGUUCAGAGUUUAGCAUGGACUGAACUUGCACCAUAUAAAGAGAAAACAAUGAGGAAUAAGACAAAGGUGGUUUUUGCUUUAUGUGGUAUGAUCCCCGUUUGCUUUAAGUGUACCCAUGGAGUAGACAGACCGUUAUCUGACAGUAUUUAGGAGCUUCAGAAUCAAUAAUGUUGGACAAGUAAAUGUUCAGCCAGGAAGUAGCAUAUGCCACUUUCACUUACAACUGAUUGGUCAGAACUAAUCACAAAGUUAACUGUAAAGAUCCAUGGAAGCAUUGUGUGCCUGGAAAUGGAGAGAAUGGGAAAGAUUUGCACUAAUAUGAUAGCACUAAUGACUCUCAUAAAUAAUAAUAGCAGUUCACAAUUAUUGAUCGUUUACCAUGUGCUGAGCCUUUUAUAUGUAUCAUUUCAUUGAAUCAUCACAAAAAUCUGUUUUAUCUUUAUUUUACAGAAAUAGAAACUGAGACUUAAAGAGCUUAAGUACUGUACCUUGCUUGACAUCACACAGAUACUAAGUAAUGGAGUUGGAAUUUAAGCUUAAUUUUACCUGCUUCCCAGAGAAUAGACUUUUAAAACACUGUCCUCAACUACCUUUGGACUUAAUUGGUCCCCUGUUGUUGGGCAUUGGGUAGUUUCAAUUUUAUUCCAAUGAACAACCUUGUGUCAGAUCUUUUGAAUCAUCUGCGAUUACUUCCUUAGGAUGAAUUCCUAGGUACAUAUUUGCUUAUUGAAAUAUACACAUAUUUCAAGAAUAAAAACCUUUUGCAAAAAGUGAAAGCUUUAGGAGGUGUGGUAGUCUUCUAAGAUGGCUUUUUUCAAUCCUUUCCUUCCCUUUUUGAAAAAUAUGUCACCAUUAAGAGGUGGAGUUUACUUCCCCUCCCUUGGAAUCUGGACUGGUCCUGUAAUUGCUUUGGAUGCAAUGAAAGUGAUAUUCUGAGACAUCUAAAUCCAAGUCUUAAGAGACUGGCAGUUUCUGUUUCCUUCCUUUUAGGGUCCUGCUGCCAUGCUGUGAGAAGCCCGAGUUUCAUGGAGAGGCCACAUGGAGUGAAAACAAAGGUGAUAGGGACAACAGCUCCACCUGAGAUCCUGGUUAAUACACAGACUUUAGCCACCUUGGAUGCUCCAGCCUAAUCGAUCUCCCACUUGACUCUAGUUUCACCUGACAUUAUGUAGAGGAAAACCAGCCAGCUCCACCUAGUCAACCCACAGAAUCAUGAGAUGAUCAUAAGACUGCAGUCGUUUAACAUUAUUCACUUUUGGGGUGGUUUAUUACACAGUGAUAGAUAAAUAAAACGGGAGUUAUUA